rnacentral:rRNA from 1 species
UACGUAGGGCGCGAGCGUUGUCCGGAAUCAUUGGGCGUAAAGAGCUCGUAGGCGGCCGGUUGCGUCUGCUGUGAAAUCCCGGGGCUUAACCCCGGGCGUGCAGUGGAUACGGGCUGGCUGGAGGCAGGCAGGGGAGAAUGGAAUUCCCGGUGUAGCGGUGAAAUGCGCAGAUAUCGGGAGGAACACCGGUGGCGAAGGCGGUUCUCUGGGCCUGUGCUGACGCUGAGGCGCGAAAGCGUGGGGAGCAAACAGG